GGGAGUAUAGCUCAAGUGGUAGAGUGUAUGCUUAGCAUGCAUGAGAUUCUAGGUUCAAUCCCCAGUACCUCCA
rnacentral:tRNA from 1 species